ensembl:snRNA U6 U6 spliceosomal RNA
GUGCUCACCUCAGCAGCACAUACACUAAAAUUGGAACAAUACAGAGAAGAUUAGCAGGAGCCAUGGCUCCUGCGCAAGGAUGACAUGCAAAUUUGUGAAGUGUUCCAUAUUUUU